rnacentral:rRNA from 1 species
UACGAAGGGGGCAAGCGUUGUUCGGAAUUACUGGGCGUAAAGGGCUCGUAGGCGGCCAACUAAGUCAUACGUGAAAUCCCUCGGCUUAACCGGGGAACUGCGUCCGAUACUGGCAGGCUUGAAUCCGGGAGAGGGAUGUGGAAUUCCAGGUGUAGCGGUGAAAUGCGUAGAUAUCUGGAGGAACACCGGUGGCGAAGGCGGCAUCCUGGACCGGUAUUGACGCUGAGG